ACCAGUUGUUUAAUUAAGGGAUUGGAAAAAAUAACCCACCCCUCAGGAUUUGCUUCAAAAUUUCGGGCAAGCCAAACAGGGCAGACAGCCAGACCCUCACCAAUGCAAGUGUUCAUUCAUGUUGCUCAAAACAGAGACUUGGGAGGGAAUCGCACACAGCUCAGAAAGCCAGGGGCAAACUUUCCUGAGUGUGACCAUGUCAGAAGCAACGCCAGAGCAGGAGACACGGUUUGGCACCCCAUGGCUGGGGCGGGGGCCUCUGUGAAUGACCAGCCAUGGGCAGAGACAUUCUGCAAGCUGUUUCUACAUUUCCGGAUAACAAAGUUGAUUCACUCUACAGCUCCUAAUUAGCUGGCUUGGUUAGUAUUGUUUUGUUUUCUUUUUUCUUCCCUGAUCUCAUCAAUACACCAUUCAGUUGGAGCCACCAAAGAACACUGAAGAUUAUCCUGGUACGUCAAUCCCGAAGCUGUCUCUUUUACUACUGGCACACAAAAUUUGGGGUGGGGGGUGCCACAUAACUAAUCAUCAUACAUAUGUGAUUUAUAAGAAAAUAAACAGUAGGUUAGAAAAGGCA
rnacentral:lncRNA from 12 species